GGAGCAGAUGGGAGUAGGACAUCCCUUCCUGGCCCAGCAGGGACGACCUGCCCUCCAAGACUCAGGGGACCCGUGGGCCUGUGCUGUUGAUCUGGAACUUUCUGCAGGACCUUCUGGAGGUGCCUCCAGCCCAGCACUGGAUGUGAAGCAGUGUUUUCCUGAAAGCUGGACUAUGAGGAUGCUGAAAAGUCUGAUGAGAUUAAUUUUUGAGAAGGGGAGUGAGGAGAGGUGUGUUUGGUUCGAAGAGAUAGUCAUCUUCCAGAAGAUUUUGAGGUCUGAUUUCUGUGCUGAAAAUGUAGCUGAAGGCAAUGGCUAAGCCUGCCUAUGAUGUGAAACCACAAGAAAGCAGUCGUGUAACUGCAAAACUAAGGAAAGCCAGAAAGCUAGAAGCGGUGCCCUAUGGCUGCUGGCCCCGAGGAACUGGCUGCUAAUAGUUGAACAUCAAGGGAAUUUAAAUCCUGUGGUGAAACUGUCCUUGAACAGCUCUGCAGGAAAUACAGAGAUAAAGCAGGAACAGACAGAUGAGCCUUGGCUUUCACAGCAUGCAUACGAUUUAUCAGGCACUGCGUUCUUUCCCCAAGGGAAGGUCAGCACAGCCAUGCUGUUUCUCUGCUGUGCAGUUGCCUAAGGGAGAAUACACACUUUGGCUUUCUGGAAGUGCGUGUGGAUUCACCUGAACACAGUUCUGAAAGAAGAAACGAUCAUCUGGAUGCAGUGAACUCAUGCUCAUAACAACUGAGUGGAAAUUCGCUUAUGCUAUUGAGUAUCAUGGAACACUGCACCAGACAACACAGG
rnacentral:lncRNA from 1 species